rnacentral:rRNA from 1 species
GCAAGUCGAACGAGAAAGCACUUCGGUGUGAGUAGAGUGGCGCACGGGUGAGUAACACUUGGGUAACCUAACCUUCAGAGGGGGAUAACCAGCCGAAAGGCUGGCUAAUACCGCGUACGUCGUUCUUUACCACGGUUUAGAACGAGAAAGAUUUUAUCGCUGAGGGAUGGGCCCGAGCUCUAUUAGCUUGUUGGUGGGGUAAAAGCCUACCAAGGCAACGAUAGAUAGCUGGUCUGAGAGGAUGAUC